GACGAACGCUGGCGGCGUGCCUAAUACAUGCAAGUCGAGCGGACCUUUUAAAAGCUUGCUUUUGAAAGGUUAGCGGCGGACGGGUGAGUAACACGUGGGCAACCUGCCCUAUAGUUUGGGAUAACUCCGGGAAACCGGGGCUAAUACCGGAUAAUACAAUUUAGCUCCUGCUAGAUUGUUGAAAGAUGGUUUCGGCUAUCGCUAUAGGAUGGGCCCGCGGCGCAUUAGCUAGUUGGUAGGGUAACGGCCUACCAAGGCGACGAUGCGUAGCCGACCUGAGAGGGUGAUCGGCCACACUGGGACUGAGACACGGCCCAGACUCCUACGGGAGGCAGCAGUAGGGAAUCUUCCACAAUGGACGAAAGUCUGAUGGAGCAACGCCGCGUGAGUGAAGAAGGUUUUCGGAUCGUAAAACUCUGUUGUAAGGGAAGAACAAGUACAGUAGUAACUGGCUGUACCUUGACGGUACCUUAUUAGAAAGCCACGGCUAACUACGUGC
rnacentral:rRNA from 1 species